AGAUUCUCCGCGGCGCCGCGGUUCAGGCAGAGCGCGCCACUCCUUCGUCGAGGCAGGACGUGCGCCCAAGUCGGGCUAGCAGAGGCCAGCGAGAGCCGUGCCAAGUCAAGGCCAGCCGUGACCAGCGGCUCCGCGACCUGGGCAUCCUCUGCCUUCUCCCCGUUCCCACUUGAAUCGCGCUCCUAGCGCCCGCAAAAGCAGUCCUCGCCGGGAUCCUCGGUUGCUGCCGUCGGGUAGCGCUUGCUGUCGAGCCAACAUGCCCAUCACUCGGAUGCGCAUGAGACCUUGGCUAGAGAUGCAGAUUAAUUCCAACCAAAUCCCAGGGCUGAUCUGGAUUAAUAAAGAGGAGAUGAUCUUCCAGAUCCCAUGGAAGCACGCUGCGAAGCAUGGCUGGGACAUCAACAAGGACGCCUGUCUGUUUCGGAGCUGGGCCAUUCACACAGGCCGAUACAAAGCAGGGGAAAAGGAGCCGGAUCCCAAGACCUGGAAGGCCAACUUUCGCUGCGCCAUGAACUCGCUGCCAGAUAUUGAGGAGGUGAAGGACCAGAGCAGGAACAAGGGCAGUUCAGCUGUGCGGGUGUACCGGAUGCUCCCACCCCUCACCAAGAGCCAGAGGAAAGAGAGAAAGUCCAAGUCCAGCCGAGACGCUAGGAGCAAGGCCAAGAAGAAGCCAUAUGGGGAAUACAGCCCCGAUACCUUCUCUGAUGGACUCAGUAGCUCCACCCUUCCUGAUGACCACAGCAACUACACAGUUCGCAGCUACAUGGGGCAGGACCUGGACAUCGAACGGACUCUCACUCCAGCGCUGUCACCGUGUGGCGUCAGUAGCACUCUCCCUAACUGGUCCAUUCCGGUGGAAAUUGUGCCAGACAGCACCAGCGACCUGUACAACUUUCAGGUGUCGCCCAUGCCCUCCACCUCUGAAGCUGCAACAGAUGAGGACGAGGAAGGGAAAUUAACUGAGGACAUCAUGAAGCUCUUGGAGCAAACAGGGUGGCAGCAGACAAGCGUGGAUGGGAAGGGGUACCUGCUUAAUGAACCCGGGGCCCAGCCCACCUCUGUCUAUGGAGAGUUCAGUUGCAAGGAGGAGCCAGAAGUUGACAGCCCUGGGGGUUAUAUUGGCCUGAUAUCUUCAGAUAUGAAGAACAUGGAUCCCAGCUGGUUGGACAGCCUGCUCACCCCAGUCAGGCUGCCCUCCAUCCAGGCCAUUCCUUGCGCACCAUAGAUGGGCCCCCAGACCCCCUUUGACUCCUUUAGGCGACAGGGCCUGGCAUCAUGGUGGCUGUGGUGCAAAGAAGCAGGAAUCCUGCGGCCCCUUGAUAUGAUGGAGUGUGACCCCACUGCUGACCAAGGAUGGGUCUUUCCGCCUCGGGACAGUGGCCUCUUGCAGUCCGGCAGGGCAGGGUCUGGACUCAUCUUGUCGGGUGAAGCUGGCCCUGCCUCCGGGGAAGAUGGGGUUCUGAGACUGGUGUGUCAGGUGGCAGUCUCAGACAGGACUCAGCCUCCAGCUUUCCCCUUGGAGCCCCACUGCCUGGAGAGGGUUUUGCUAUUCCUGAGCUGGCCCGAGAGAACGGACCAGUGACCUCAGAAAGCAUGGCACCACCUCCAGGGCUGGCUCUGCACUAAGAGACAAUUGCACUAAGUGAAUCCUGUUCCCAAAGUAACCGCCUCCCUUCCUAGCUGAGCCCUGGGGACUGUUCCAACGCCAGUGAAAUAUGAAGGAAGAAUGGGGUCCCUGUGGGACAGUGCCCCCUCUGCCUCAGAGGAGCUCUGCCCUGCUCCCUGCCUAGGCUGAGGGGCUUGUGAAAAAACCUGGCACUUUUUCUUGUGGACCUUGCCACAUUUCUGAUCAGAGGUGUACACUAACGUUUCCCCAAGCUCUUGGCCUUUGCAUUUAUUUAUACUGUGCCUUGCCCUGCACCCACGUGCCCCCUCAGGCAGGCCCCGGCAGCCCCCAGCAGGCCCAGGGAGGCAGGCGUGAGCACCUUGGUGUGAUUUAAAAUUGGAAGUAUCAUCUGACCACUAAGUCAUGUGUGACCACACAUGAAUAUAUACCUUCUGAUGGAUUCAUUGUUGGCAUCCUGCCUGAGCUUAACUUUGGGAUGAGUGGUAACACACCUUUUGUGAAAUCCUUUCAGCUGUGGUCAUGGAGAAGAGGGCAGGAGAAAGGACAGUUGUGCCACAGGGAUAUGUUCAUGUAAAUACAGUCAUUGCCCUUGGCUAUAUAGGUAGAGCUAUGAGUUGACUUGGGCCCCGGGCCCCAAGGAGUGUUAGGUUUUGAGUUCUUCUGACGAAUGUGCCAUAAACUCCAAUGUUUUGCUAUAAACUCAAAUGCAAGUGUACUCAGGUGCUACUUCACAAAGGUAUCAGUUGGCACAGCAUGGUCACCAUCAGAACAGACCCCAGCCCCAUAAAGAUCCCUGAGGCCUUCCAUGCUGAGCAUAACUUGCUGUCCGUUUUCUGCAGUGAUGGGAAUGUUCUCUGUCUGCGCUGUCCACUACAAUAGGUAGUGGUGUAGUCACGUGUGCUAAAUCAAACACUUGAAAUGUGACCAGUACAAUGGAGGAACUGGAUUUAAAAAAAAUUUUUUUGGCUAUGCUGCUCACAUGCAAGAUCUUGGUUCCUGGACCCAGGAUAGAACGGAUGCCCCCUGCAGUGGAAGUCUGGAGUCCUAAUCACUGGACACCAGGGAUUUCCCUGGGUUUUUAAAGUUUCAUUUAAUUAGUUAAAAUUCAAAAAGCCACACGUGGCCAGUGGCUACCAUAUUGAAUAGUAAAGGUAGAUACUGGAUUGGGAGCAGACUUGAGGGGGAGGGGCUGGGGUGGCUGGAGGACACUGGGGACUGGGGCUUGGGACUAUUCACUUGACUGUUCAAAAGUAUUUUACUGUUUUGACAGCUAAUAAAAACUGGUGCUGAAAAUCAGCCCUGCAGUGUACUAUGAAA